CAUUUCCGUUUUGAAUACUUUCAGAUCCUUCCCUUUUUUCUCCCAGCCCCAAGAGUGGUAGCUACCUUCCCCAGUUGCUAUCUCAGUGAUACCUUAGACCUUAGAAAGUGUAUCUUUUUACACUUUCAGUUGCCCAGUUGACAGCUUCGUACUCUGUCAACAAUCCUUUAUAUUUAAUUCCUUCUGUUGAAAUAGCUGGUUUCCUUUCUGUCUCCUGCUGGACCCUGACUGGCACAGUGAGGCCCACAGGGUCCGGAUAGCAAUUUCUUGCCUCGGAUGACUCACCUCUGGCUCUGAAGGUGGCGGGGACAGAGUCUCACCGCUAAAGAGAAGCUCCCAAGUCAGAAAGGACAGUUAUCUCUUUGGAGUGUGAUCCCUUCGUGCAACAGAUUUUGCACUAAGUCCCUACUAUGUGCAAAAUCCCGGUGAAGCUUCUGAGGAUAUAACAAUGCAUAAGAUAUGGCCUCUGCCCCUGAUAA